GACGAACGCUGGCGGCGUGCUUAACACAUGCAAGUCGAGCGGUAAGGCCCUUUCGGGGGUACACGAGCGGCGAACGGGUGAGUAACACGUGGGUGACCUGCCCUCAGCUCUGGGAUAAGCCUGGGAAACCGGGUCUAAUACUGGAUAUGACUCCAUGACGCACGUUGUGGGGUGGAAAGCCUUGUGCGGCUGAGGAUGGGCCCGCGGCCUAUCAGCUUGUUGGUGGGGUGANGGCCUACCAAGGCGACGACGGGUAGCCGGCCUGAGAGGGCGACCGGCCACACUGGGACUGAGACACGGCCCAGACUCCUACGGGAGGCAGCAGUGGGGAAUCUUGCGCAAUGGGCGAAAGCCUGACGCAGCGACGCCGCGUGAGGGAUGACGGCCU
rnacentral:rRNA from 1 species